rnacentral:rRNA from 1 species
UACGUAGGGCGCAAGCGUUGUCCGGAAUUAUUGGGCGUAAAGAGCGCGCAGGCGGUCGUUCAAGUCGAGUGUGAAAGCCCCCGGCUCAACUGGGGAGGGUCACUCGAUACUGAUCGACUCGAAGGCAGGAGAGGGUAGUGGAAUUCCCGGUGUAGUGGUGAAAUGCGUAGAUAUCGGGAGGAACACCAGUGGCGAAGGCGACUACCUGGCCUGUUCUUGACGCUGAGGCGCGAAAGCUAGGGGAGCAAACGGGG